rnacentral:rRNA from 1 species
GAUGAACGCUAGCUACAGGCUUAACACAUGCAAGUCGAGGGGAAACGACAUCGAAAGCUUGCUUUUGAUGGGCGUCGACCGGCGCACGGGUGAGUAACGCGUAUCCAACCUGCCCAUCACUUGGGAAUAACCUUGCGAAAGUAAGACUAAUACCCAAUGAUAUCCCACGAAGGCAUCGGAAUGGGAUUAAAGAUUUAUCGGUGAUGGAUGGGGAUGCGUCUGAUUAGCUUGUUGGCGGGGUAACGGCCCACCAAGGCAACGAUCAGUAGGGGUUCUGAGAGGAAGGUCCCCCACAUGGGAACUGAGACACGGUCCAAACUCCUACGGGAGGCAGCAGUGAGGAAUAUUGGUCAAUGGGCGAGAACCUGAACCAGCCAAGUAGCGUGCAGGAUGACGGCCCUAUGGGUUGUAAACUGCUUUUAUAAGGGAAUAAAGUGGGUCUCGUGAGACUUUUUGCAUGUACCUGAUGAAUAAGGACCGGCUAAUUCCGUG